GCCGUCUGAAGAUUGGCCUUCCUUGACAACUCGCCUUGCCCAAGCUAUCCAUUUCGCGGCAUUCUCGCGCAUGCCUCCCUCGUGCGUCGCCCCAAUAACCAUGUCCAAGCACCUCUUCACCUCUUCUCUCCUUACACCCCCUUCUCCGUCCACCCUUGCCUUCAGCCUAC